rnacentral:rRNA from 1 species
UACGUAGGGGGCAAGCGUUGUCCGGAAUCAUUGGGCGUAAAGCGCGCGUAGGCGGCCCGGUAAGUCCGCUGUGAAAGUCCAGGGCUCAACCCUGGAAAGCCGGUGGAUACUGCCGGGCUAGAGUCCGGAAGAGGCGAGUGGAAUUCCUGGUGUAGCGGCGGAAUGCGCAGAUAUCAGGAGGAACACCAAUGGCGAAGGCAGCUCGCUGGGACGGUACUGACGCUGAGGCGCGAAAGCGUGGGGAGCAAACAGG